CCGCGGGAUUAGAGUUUGAUCCUGGCUCAGAGCGAACGCUGGCGGCGUGCUUAACACAUGCAAGUCGAACGCGCAGCAUUCUGUAGCAAUACAGGGUGUGGGCGCGUGGCGAACGGGUGCGUAACACGUGGAUAACCUUCCUUGAGGUGGGGAAUAACCCAGUGAAAAUUGGGCUAAUACCGCAUAACAUCGCGAUGGCACAUGCUGAUGCGAUCAAAGGCGCAAGUCGCCACAAGAGGGAUCCGCGGCCGAUUAGCUUGUUGGCGAGGUAAUGGCUCACCAAGGCAAUGAUCGGUAGCCGGACUGAGAGGUUGGCCGGCCACACUGGAACUGAGACACGGUCCAGACUCCUACGGGAGGCAGCAGUGGGGAAUCUUGCACAAUGGACGAAAGUCUGAUGCAGCAACGCCGCGUGGGGGAUGAAGCUUCUCGGAGUGUAAACCCCUUUCGACCCGGAAGAAUGCCCGCAAGGGUAUGACGGUACGGGUAUAAGAAGCCCCGGCUAACUACGUGCCAGCAGCCGCGGUAAUACGUAGGGGGCCAGCGUUGCUCGGAAUUACUGGGCGUAAAGGGUCCGUAGGCGGUGUAGCAAGUCGAUAGUGAAAUCUCUGGGCUUAACCCAGAGGCUGCUAACGAAACUGCUGUGCUAGAGUGUGAGAGAGGCGAGUGGAAUUACGGGUGUAGCGGUGAAAUGCGUAGAUAUCCGUAGGAACAUCCGAGGCGAAGGCGGCUCGCUGGAUCACAACUGACGCUGAGGGACGAAAGCUAGGGGAGCAAACAGGAUUAGAUACCCUGGUAGUCCUAGCCCUAAACCAUCAGGACUUGGGGUUUGCCCUGUA
rnacentral:rRNA from 1 species